GACGAACGCUGGCGGCGUGCCUAAUACAUGCAAGUAGAACGCUGAAGGAGGAGCUUGCUUCUCUGGAUGAGUUGCGAACGGGUGAGUAACGCGUAGGUAACCUGCCUGGUAGCGGGGGAUAACUAUUGGAAACGAUAGCUAAUACCGCAUAAGAGUAGAUGUCGCAUGACAUUUGCUUAAAAGGUGCAAUUGCAUCACUACCAGAUGGACCUGCGUUGUAUUAGCUAGUUGGUGAGGUAACGGCUCACCAAGGCAACGAUACAUAGCCGACCUGAGAGGGUGAUCGGCCACACUGGGACUGAGACACGGCCCAGACUCCUACGGGAGGCAGCAGUAGGGAAUCUUCGGCAAUGGACGGAAGUCUGACCGAGCAACGCCGCGUGGGUGAAGAAGGGUGUCGGAUCGUAAAGCUCUGUUGUAAGAGAAGAACGAGUGUGAGAGUGGAAAGUUCACACUGUGACGGUAUCUUACCAGAAAGGGACGGCUAACUACGUG
rnacentral:rRNA from 1 species